UAAGGGACUUUCACCUAAUCGUUAGAAACUUAGAAUUACAAGUAGUGGAGAUUGUUAGUCACAAUCGUGUUAAGUAGAUUCUUGGCAAAAGUAUCAUGCAGUUCAUAGUUAUAAUUGCCUUGUCAAUGCUUAUGAUUUCCAUGGGAUUUAAUGAUCUUUGAAUGUAUCUCUAUCAUGUUGUUCAUAUAGGGAACUUGAGAAGAAUAAUUUGGGUUGUUGCAUGCAUUCAUCCAAUUCAAUGAAUUUAGGGAAAUCUGAUAGUUAAUUUGUGCAUUCACGAUUAAUUUGGGGCAUUGUCGUUCAUGGUUUAAAGAAACAAUACUGGAAAUUGAUUUAUGUUGCAUAUGUUCAUGUAUGGAGAAGGAUGCUCUAACUAUCUUUUCACCCUUGAAUUCAUCUCAAUUUCGUUUUAGUUUACUUUGAUUUGCAAUCUGUUUAGUUUUAAUUCAAUUUCGUCAGAAAUCAAACACCCUUUUCUGUUUUAUGUUAUUAGGUCAGAAUCUGUCCUAAUUAGGUUCUUUAGAGUGUUUUGAGUCAAUAUAGGUUAGGUUUAGUCCAUAAACAUUGUUUGGGUCUUAGUUUAGUCUUAAAUUCGUCCAAUUUCAUCUCUAGAAUCUGUUUUGAGUCUAAUUGUUAGUAUUGUGUUGUUUUGAGUCUUUUAAGUGUUUUCUGAGUUAGUUAAGUUACAAUCUGUUUUCUUUUAAUCUUUUGAGUCAAAGUAAGUUUUAAUUUCGUCUAAAUCACUUGUUAGGUUUAGAAUUGAGUCAAUUUCACUUAGUUUUGCAGAUUUGAGUGUCUUAGGUCAGUUUAGAGUCUAUAGAGUCUAUUCUUGUGUUUUUAAGUCUAGUUUAGUGUUUUAGAGUUUAAUUUGAGUAGAUUAGUAGCCCUAGUUAAUCCCCGGUUUAGAACGAUCCCUACUUACAUCUUUGCUACAAUUGUCAUCAAUAGGGUUUAAUUUGUUUGUCAGGUAAUUUUCACAUCACUAGUGAAUGGUGACUAUGAUUAAGUAUGCUCGAGGGUAAGGAUUGCUUAAAUCUAUAUGAGUGGUGAUCUUUGGCAUGUCAUGUUUCAUUAAAAAUCCCUGAGGCAAAUGUUGGAAGGUCUAGGCUAUGUUUUGUUUGUUUCAUUUGUUUUGUUUUGCUCGAGGACUACCAAAAGCUAAGUGUGGGGGAAUUUGAUAGGAGCAUAUUUAUGCGACUUAGUUAGCUUGUUCUUGUGCAUUUAUGUUGUUAUUUCUUAGUUGAAUUAGUAUUUCAAGCCAUUUUCGUGUGGUUGUAGGUACAAAGGGUUAAAGAGGCAAAGAAGUGCAUUUUGGUGCCUUUUGGAGCAGUUUUGGGCAUGGAAUGGAUAUCACAUGCAUGGAGCAAAGUGGGUGGACGAAAUUAAAGAUCUAAAGAAGCUAGGAAUGUGCCAAGGAGAGGAAGAAAUUAAAUUGAGGACCAAGGAAGACAAGGAAACCAUUAAUAAUAAGGAAAGACUAGUUAAACUUGCCUUAUCUUGUCAUUACCUUUCCUAAUCCUAAAUUACCAAAGAUUUAGUCACACGAAGGGUUCCUAAAUACUUUGGGACAUUUCAUUACAUGUUCUACAAGUCUUAAACUUGCCCUAAAAGUCCAAGCCAUACCAUCCUUCACCAUUUCUCUUCCUUGCCGUGCAAGGGAGCCAUCCCUUUCCUAUUUUCUGCCAUAAAUCACUCCAAUUUCUACCCAUGCCAUGCACAUUCAUCCUUGUUCCCUCCUUGCACCCAUUUGCUACACCAUUCCACUUCCUUUCCUUUGUCUACCAUGUGCACAAUAUCCUUUCACCUCUUUGCACUCAUUGAUUCACCACUUACUCACCUUUCCACCCAUGCCAUGCAUAAUCGCCCUUGUCCCCUUCAUGCACCAGAUUUCUUGCACUCAUUUCAUGCACCAUUACACUCAUUAUCCCUCCUUGUUGUUGAAGGAAAUAUUUUGUCCUAGCUAAGAAUAUGUGAGAAUAUUUGAACACAUAUGCAAACUAUUAACACAUUAAAGUAGGCAUGCAUUAAAAAACAAUUCUAAAACCCAUGACUUUCAAAGCCUAGUGAAUGGUGAACCAUGAGACUCUUUAAGUACAUUAAAGAGAAGGAAGGAUUUAGAGAUUCAUUACCCUUGAAGCUCAUCCUUGUUUACACAAGGGAUUCACCCAAGUGGAGGGCCUUCAAGUCACCUCCUAGCUCCUUGGAUCUUCCUUGUGAUUUUCUUCCUUUUGAUGCUCCUUUGCUCCUUGAGGAUGUGAGGAAAGGAUCUCCAAAACACCAAAGGUUUGGUGUCUCUAAGUCUCCACACCAAGGAUGAGGUGUGAAGAUGAAAUGGAUGACUUAGAGAAGAAAAGAUUGCUAGCUAAAUCUUCCCUAUGUGGCCGGCCUCUUUGUAGAGAAAAAGAGAGAAAGUGUUUCACCUAUUUUCUUCAAGAAAACCCUAAUGAGAAAAUAGCUAUAAAGUUAACUUUAUACUACAUCACAUUUGAGUGGCAAACUUGUAAUUAAUUCAAGUUUGCAUCCACUCUCCCUUAUGGCCGGCCUUGUCUUUGUUAUUGGGCUAAUUGCCCAUUUUGUUUUAGUUGUCAUACAACUUAAACAUAAUGGGCUUUGUGGACCAAAACACUUUUGGGCCCUGAAACCCAAAACCAACUUAAAAGCCCAAUACGAACCUUUCGUAAAAUUAAUUAACUAAUUAAUUAAUCUUGACCAUUUUCAAUUAAACCAUUUAAUUGCAUAUCCAUUUCAUUUAUAUUUCUUCACUUUCAUCCUUACUCGAUGUACGAUCCAUUAGGUUCCAAUUAGCGAGGCAGUGGGCGAUUGUUACUCUUAACGAU
rnacentral:lncRNA from 1 species